ACAGACACACUCUCUUCUUCGCUGCUGACUCCAGCUCAGGACUUUUUCUGUCUGCUACAUAAACAUGCAGAGUAGGGUGGUCCAUUUUGGAAAAGUUUA
rnacentral:snoRNA from 1 species